rnacentral:snRNA from 1 species
GGAUGUGACGGCGAUCUGGCUGGAAAAUCUGUCACCCCAUUGAUCGCCAGGGUUUAUUUAGCCUGAUUGGCUGGAAAAAGGGGGUGUGCUUUCUCACAUCUGGGGUCCACGGAGAGGACAUCCCAAAGUUGAUGCUCGGUCGAAAACAAAUAUAAUCCCUGAUUAUGUAUUAUAAACAAUAUUCAGUCAAGGCUAUAGUAAAGAUAUUAUCACCUAGCAAAAACUUUAGAAAAUCAUGAUCGAAAAUAGAUCAUAGUAAGAUAUUCUAAUGCUAUCAUCU